rnacentral:rRNA from 1 species
CUUCAAAAAAACUUUUAAUUGAAGAGUUUGAUCAUGGCUCAGAUUGAACGCUGGCGGCAGGCCUAACACAUGCAAGUCGAGC